rnacentral:misc_RNA from 1 species
GAUGAAGAACGUAGCGAAAUGCGAUACUUGGUGUGAAUUGCAGAAUCCCGUGAACCAUCGAGUCUUUGAACGCAAGUUGCGCCCGAAGCCAUUAGGCCGAGGGCACGCCUGCCUGGGCGUCACACGUCGUUGCCCCCCCAUCUACUCCUUCGGGAUUGCGGGGGGCGGAUGAUGGCCUCCCGUGCGCCUCGCCGCGCGGUUGGCAUAAAUGCCAAGUCCUCGGCGACGCACGCCACGACAAUCGGUGGUUGCGAAACCUCGGUUGCCCGUCGUGUGCGGUCGUCGCGCAUCGAGGGCUCGAAAAAAUUGCCGGGUUCCGGCUCGGCUUUCAACGCGUCCCCAGGUCAGGCGGGGUUACCCGCUGAAUUUAAGCAUAUCAUAAGCGGAGGA